UAGUCCACGCCGUAAACGAUGUCUACUUGGAGGUUGUUCCCUUGAGGAGUGGCUUUCGGAGCUAACGCGUUAAGUAGACCGCCUGGGGAGUACGGUCGCAAGAUUAAAACUCAAAUGAAUUGACGGGGGCCCGCACAAGCGGUGGAGCAUGUGGUUUAAUUCGAUGCAACGCGAAGAACCUUACCUACUCUUGACAUCCAGAGAACUUUCCAGAGAUGGAUUGGUGCCUUCGGGAACUCUGGGACAGGUGCUGCAUGGCUGUCGUCAGCUCGUGUUGUGAAAUGUUGGGUUAAGUCCCGCAACGAGCGCAACCCUUAUCCUUGUUUGCCAGCGAGUAAUGUCGGGAACUCCAGGGAGACUGCCGGUGAUAAACCGGAGGAAGGUGGGGACGACGUCAAGUCAUCAUGGCCCUUACGAGUAGGGCUACACACGUGCUACAAUGGCCGUGACAAAGAGUUGCUACUUUGUGAAAACAAGCUAAUCUCAUAAACGCGGACCUCAGUUCGGAUUGCAGGCUGAAA
rnacentral:rRNA from 1 species